AGAACGAACGCUGGCGGCAUGCCUAACACAUGCAAGUCGAACGCUCAUCUUCGGAUGGGAGUGGCGCACGGGUGAGUAACGCGUGGGAACCUGCCCCGAGGUUCGGGAUAACCGAUGGAAACGUCGGCUAAUACCGGAUACGUCCUAAGGGAGAAAGAUUUAUCGCCCUGGGAGGGGCCCGCGUCGGAUUAGCUAGUUGGUGGGGUAACGGCCUACCAAGGCGAUGAUCCGUAGCUGGUCUGAGAGGAUGAUCAGCCACACUGGGACUGAGACACGGCCCAGACUCCUACGGGAGGCAGCAGUGGGGAAUAUUGGACAAUGGGCGCAAGCCUGAUCCAGCAAUGCCGCGUGAGUGAUGAAGGCCUUAGGGUUGUAAAGCUCUUUCGGCGGGGACGAUGAUGACGGUACCCGCAGAAGAAGCCCCGGCUAACUUCGCGCCAGCAGCCGC
rnacentral:rRNA from 1 species